CAUGUUGAAACACCAGUUCUUGUACGAUCUGCGGAGUUAAGCAACGUUAAGCCUGACCAGUACCUAGAUGGGUGACCGCUUGGUAAUACCAGGGA